rnacentral:rRNA from 1 species
AGCGAACGCUGGCGGCAGGCUUAACACAUGCAAGUCGAGCGCCCCGCAAGGGGAGCGGCAGACGGGUGAGUAACACGUGGGAACGUACCUUUUGGUUCGGAACAACACAGGGAAACUUGUGCUAAUACCGGAUAAGCCCUUACGGGGAAAGAUUUAUCGCCAAAAGAUCGGCCCGCGUCUGAUUAGCUAGUUGGUGGGGUAAUGGCCCACCAAGGCGACGAUCAGUAGCUGGUCUGAGAGGAUGAUCAGCCACACUGGGACUGAGACACGGCCCAGACUCCUACGGGAGGCAGCAGUGGGGAAUAUUGGACAAUGGGCGCAAGCCUGAUCCAGCCAUGCCGCGUGAGUGAUGAAGGCCUUAGGGUUGUAAAGCUCUUUCGUUGGGGAAGAUAAUGACGGUACCCAAAGAAGAAGCCCCGGCUAACUUCGUGCCAGCCGCCGCUGUAAAAC